AUUGAACGCUGGCGGCAUGCCUUACACAUGCAAGUCGAACGGCAGCACGGGUGCUUGCACCUGGUGGCGAGUGGCGAACGGGUGAGUAAUACAUCGGAACAUGUCCUGUAGUGGGGGGUAGCCCGGCGAAAGCCGGAUUAAUACCGCAUACGAUCCACGGAUGAAAGCGGGGGACCUUCGGGCCUCGCGCUAUGGGGUUGGCCGAUGGCUGAUUAGCUAGUUGGUGGGGUAAAGGCCUACCAAGGCGACGCUCAGUAGCUGGUCUGAGAGGACGACCAGCCACACUGGGACUGAGACACGGCCCAGACUCCUACGGGAGGCAGCAGUGGGGAAUUUUGGACAAUGGGCGAAAGCCUGAUCCAGCAAUGCCGCGUGUGUGAAGAAGGCCUUCGGGUUGUAAAGCACUUUUGUCCGGAAAGAAAUCCUUGGCCCUAAUACGGUCGGGGGAUGACGGUACCGGAAGAAUAAGCACCGGCUAACUACGUG
rnacentral:rRNA from 1 species